UAACUUCAAAAAUUUACGUACCUGCCUU
rnacentral:sRNA from 1 species